rnacentral:rRNA from 1 species
UACAUGGGGUGCAAACGUUGCUCGGAAUUACUGGGCGUAAAGGGCUCGUAGGCGGCCAACUAAGUCAGACGUGAAAUCCCUCGGCUUAACCGGGGAACUGCGUCUGAUACUGGAUGGCUUGAGUUCGGGAGAGGGAUGCGGAAUUCCAGGUGUAGCGGUGAAAUGCGUAGAUAUCUGGAGGAACACCGGUGGCGAAGGCGGCAUCCUGGACCGACACUGACGCUGAGGAGCGAAAGCCAGGGGAGCAAACGGG